rnacentral:rRNA from 1 species
GACGAACGCUGGCGGCGUGCUUAACACAUGCAAGUCGAACGGAAAGGCCCUGCUUUUGUGGGGUGCUCGAGUGGCGAACGGGUGAGUAACACGUGAGUAACCUGCCCUUGACUUUGGGAUAACUUCAGGAAACUGGGGCUAAUACCGGAUAGGAGCUCCUGCUGCAUGGUGGGGGUUGGAAAGUUUCGGCGGUUGGGGAUGGACUCGCGGCUUAUCAGCUUGUUGGUGGGGUAGUGGCUUACCAAGGCUUGGACGGGUAGCCGGCCUGAGAGGGUGACCGGCCACAUUGGGACUGAGAUACGGCCCAGUCUCCAACGGGAGGCAGCAGUGGGGAAUAUUGCACAAUGGGCGGAAGCCUGAUGCAGCAACGCCGCGUGCGGGAUGACGGCCUUCGGGUUGUAAACCGCUUUCGCCUGUGACGAAGCGUGAGUGACGGUAAUGGGUAAAGAAGCACCGGCUAACUACGUG